rnacentral:rRNA from 1 species
AGAGUUUGAUCCUGGCUCAGGACGAACGCUGGCGGCGCGCCUAACACAUGCAAGUCGAACGGAGCUUAGAGAGCUUGCUUUUUAAGCUUAGUGGCGAACGGGUGAGUAACGCGUGAGUAACCUGCCCUAGAGUGGGGGACAACAGUUGGAAACGACUGCUAAUACCGCAUAAGCCCACGGUACCGCAUGGUACUGAGGGAAAAGGAUUUAUUCGCUUUAGGAUGGACUCGCGUCCAAUUAGCUAGUUGGUGAGGUAACGGCCCACCAAGGCGACGAUUGGUAGCCGGACUGAGAGGUUGAACGGCCACAUUGGGACUGAGACACGGCCCAGACUCCUACGGGAGGCAGCAGUGGGGGAUAUUGCACAAUGGGGGAAACCCUGAUGCAGCGACGCCGCGUGGAGGAAGAAGGUCUUCGGAUUGUAAACUCCUGUUGUUGAGGAAGAUAAUGACGGUACUCAACAAGGAAGUGACGGCUAACUACGUGCCAGCAGCCGCGGUAAAACGUAGGUCACAAGCGUUGUCCGGAAUUACUGGGUGUAAAGGGAGCGCAGGCGGGAAGACAAGUUGGAAGUGAAAUCCAUGGGCUCAACCCAUGAACUGCUUUCAAAACUGUUUUUCUUGAGUAGUGCAGAGGUAGGCGGAAUUCCCGGUGUAGCGGUGGAAUGCGUAGAUAUCGGGAGGAACACCAGUGGCGAAGGCGGUCUACUGGGCACCAACUGACGCUGAGGCUCGAAAGCAUGGGUAGCAAACAGGAUUAGAUACCCUGGUAGUCCAUGCCGUAAACGAUGAUUACUAGGUGUUGGAGGAUUGACCCCUUCAGUGCCGCAGUUAACACAAUAAGUAAUCCACCUGGGGAGUACGACCGCAAGGUUGAAACUCAAAGGAAUUGACGGGGGCC